UACGAAGGGUGCAAGCGUUAAUCGGAAUUACUGGGCGUAAAGCGCACGUAGGUGGUUUGCUAAGUCAGCUGUGAAAUCCCCGGGCUCAACCUGGGCACUGCAGUUGAAACUGGCAAGCUAGAGUAGGGUAGAGGGGUGUGGAACUCCAGGUGUAGCGGUGAAAUGCGUAGAUAUCUGGAGGAACAUCAGUGGCGAAGGCGACACCCUGGACUCAUACUGACACUGAGGUGCGAAAGCGUGGGGAGCAAACAGG
rnacentral:rRNA from 1 species